rnacentral:rRNA from 1 species
UGAAUAUACCGGUUCUUUAGAUCACCGAAGUCAAGCAUCAUUGGGCGCGGUCAGUACUUGGGUGGGUGACCACUUGGGGA